rfam:Rattus norvegicus chromosome 6, whole genome shotgun sequence.
GGGGAUUUAGCUCAGUGGUAGAGCGCUUGCCUAGCAAGCGCAAGGCCCUGGGUUCGGUCCCCAGCUCUA